rnacentral:lncRNA from 1 species
UAUAAGAUUCAAAUUAUCAAGCUGAAAUUCUAUUGCCCCUUGGUAUUCAAACUGAAAUUACUUAGAAUCCAAGAGAGGAGUGGAGAACAUGGUCAAGGCUCAAAAGUUCAGAAGACUCUGAGGCAGCAGCAGAGGAGGGAGCAGAUUUCCAGCAUCGUCUGCCUCGCUGAUUUUGACAAUCAGCCAAUGGUGAAACAGCUAAUACUCGAAAUUAUUUUCUAUGUUCUCACGGCAGCAACUACAUGCGUGGUCUUGACAACUCCCAGAUGUCCUCCGGUCAGUCGCCAAGCCUUGGCUUGCUCAGCACGAAUUCCAGCUCCUGUUUAAUGCGCUAGGUAAGAAACGAAGAAGGUACGGUUCCCAGAUUCUUUGCAGCUGUGGCUCUGGGGAUGGUUUAGCUUUUUCUAAAGAGAUUCAUUUGCUUGAGACUUAGAGUCAAACAGUGAAUUACUGGAGAGGCUAAGCCUAAGGUGCUUGUUUUCUAACAGGAAGUACAACUAGCAGUCAAUCAGCAACUUUCUGAUGUCCACUCUCUGGCCAAGGAAAUGCGUUCCUGGAUCUGUCAUUUCCGCUGGUUGUUAUCUUGCUCCAAUUUCGUGACUAAGGUAGUGUGAUUCUAGAAUGAGUGACCAAAUUGCCCGGAAUUGUGGUAUGUCACAGACGGAACUCCUGUAAG